rnacentral:hammerhead_ribozyme from 1 species
AUCCAGAUGACGAGUCCAAAACAGGACGAAAUGAGCAUCCUAGAU